rnacentral:lncRNA from 1 species
CCCAAGCUCAGGUGUCUCUUUAUAGCAGUGUGAGAACAAACUAAUACAUCUUGACACUGGACUGUUUGACAUUUAAGGUUUGGAAAUGUUUUCUAUUUUUUUGUUUGUACAAUAAAGGACAUAAUAAGAGUAGUGUCCAUGACUAAUUAAAAAUGCGAUUCUGACUGGCUCAACCCCAUGAGCUCUAUGCUUCCUUAUAUUUUCACGUAACUGUUCUCUCACAAUGCUGCUUUUUGUCACAUGAUUCUACAAUAUUAAUCUCAUAAAGCUGUGCUGCCUAACAUGGUAGUCACAGAUCACACAUGGCUAUUGAAAUUUAAAUCAGUUAAAUGUGAAAAGUCACUUCCUCUAGCCAAAUCUGAAGAGCUCAAUAGCUAUAUGCAGCAAGACACUAAACUGUAUUGGGUAGCACAGAUAUAGAAAUUUCUAUUAUUCGAGAAUGUUCUAUUGGAUGGCACUGUACAAUGGAUUUAGAAACUAAGACUGACCCACUUACUUUCUUCUUUUAAACCACCCAUACUAAGAUCAAGACUCCCAGCAACAACAGGUACCAUUACAUGUCAUGUGCCACGCACUGAACUAAGCCCUUAGUGUAUAUUAUCUCAUCAAAUCUUUGUAAUAAGCUCAUGUUAUCAUUAAGAUUUAUUUAGAACUCGAAGCUCACAUAGUAAGAGGCAAAUUUGAACUUUGAACCCAGGUCUUUCUGGCUCCAAAUCCUAAGCUCUUCAACAGUCAGCUAUACCAACUCCUCCUUCUUCUCCUCCUCCUCCCCCACUAACUCUGAUGUAGGCCUGGCCAGGCAAUCAGGGAUAACGCCAAGGCUAAAUGCCAUGCUGUACCCUGCCAAAAGCAAGGGCAGAGCUGGGCACGAGUAGGCAGCUUGAAUCAUCUUGGUGGGGGUAAUUCAGUCCCAUCUAAUUUUGGGACAAAAUGAAAGCUGUGUUCUUCAUAACAAAUGACUGAGACUUUUCACAAACUGGAUAAUUUUCCAGUGGAAAUACCCAAAUAAGAGUAAUCACUAGUAGAUCUGUUAAGAUUGGUGAGUAAAAUUUGACAUUAACCAAAAGAACUGAAUGCAUUGGCUUAUUAUUAUUAUUCUCUUCAUUCUUUUCUUUUUGAAAGUGCUGAUUUCAUUCCACACAUCCCAUGUGCCAGCUAUUAUUACAUUUCUGUGUUUCAAAAAUUUUCUCUGGGCCAAUUCGGAGAAGGCUGGCUCCUGCCCCUCAUUCAAAGCAAACAGCCCGUAUGUCUCCCUAAAUGUUGAGCUUUUACUUUGAAGCUUAAAUUUAGUCUUGUUUUUUAAUGUAAACAAAUCUGCAGAUUAGAUGGCAGAAAUGUGUGUCUCUAGGAGACAGCCUAUAGUGUUUCUUUAGCUCGUUGUGAAAACUCCAUGUUUCGCACCGAUCAUGGAUUUCUUACUACAGUCUUUCUAUUCUUCCCUCCCUUUUUCUUUCCUUUUUCCUUCACAUGUGCUAUGGUUUGGAUAUAGUUUGUCCUCACCAAAAGUGAUGUUGACAUUUGAUUCCCAGUGGGGUAGUGUUGGGAGGUGAGGCCUAGCAGGAGGUGUUUGGGUCAUGGGGGCAGAUGCCUUACAAAUACCUUGGUGCUGUAACUGCAGUAGACAGUGAAAUCUCAUUCUGGGAAGGCUGGAUCAGGAAAGGGAUUCGUUCCUACAAGAGUGCAUUGGUAUCAAGCCAGGACACCCCUUGGAUUUUGCCCCUUGGCGCAUUUCCGCUUCCCCUUUGACCUUCCGCCAUGUUGUGACGCAGCAUGAAAGCCCUCACCAGCAGCUGAGCAGAUGCCAGCUCUCUGUGUAAAUCAUCCAGUCUCAAGUAUUCUCUUACAGUAACACAAAGCAGACUAAGACAACACGGUUCCCUGAAACUUAGCUUCUCAGUUGUCUCCAUUAGCACUUUUUAAUAGGUCAUAACUUUGCCAGAGUAAGUAAAUCCAACUUGGAACAAGUCAGACUGAGGAUUUUCCCCAAAAUGAGUUUCCAUAGAAAUCAUGGUAAGCCCAUGAAAGAAAAUUUCCUUGGAAUUAAACAAAAAUGCCAUACAAUUGUCAGGAUCUAAUUCAGCCUCAUCAAACUUCAUCUAAAAGCAACGGUGCUGGAUGGCAGAAUGGAGAACUGUGUGACCUCCCUCCCAGGACCAUGGUUCUCUUGAACCUGAAUAUGUUAUUUCAGAUCCAAUCAUUAGACCAUUUAUUAAAUAUCCAUCUGGCAUAUCAGACACACUGGGUAAUUAGCAGUGAUGAGUAAGAAUACAAGAGCAGACCAAUUAUAAAACCUCCUCCUAUUAGUCAUAUGGUUACCAAUUAUCACACGCAAGCCAAAUCCUGUCCAUAGUCAACAUUCAAAAAAUAAAAUCUAUUAACAAGGCAGGCUUUUAAGUUCAUGAUGUCAGGAUUGUGCUGAACUGCACACAUCAGAAUGGAAAUACAUUAGGUCAACAGAUAGAGUGAAAAAUACAAGAUAAUAAGAUCCAGAAGAGUCAGAACCAAAAGAGCUGGGACCUGACAGAACCAUGUGGCCAAAGCUGAAUGUCAAGAUUUCACGACUUGGGCAAAAUUGUUACUAAGCUUAAUAUUGUUGCUUUGAGGGGUCUGUAAGCUUUGAGGGUCAUGAACCCUGUCUACUUUUACUCUCCCUCAUAUCUUCAGCACCAAACAGCCCCCACCUUAUAGUACAUAUUCAAUAAGCAUUUUAUAAACUAGUGACUACAUGAAUAAUGAAUAAAGUGAAAUUUGUCUUUUUGACCAGCUUUUCUAUCUUUUGUCACAAGCACUGUCUCUCUUGGUCAAAUUCUUGAGAUACCUUGCAGACUAUGAUAAGCAAUGGCCUGUUACUCAAACCUUCCUGAUUUGUUUGGUUGUUCUAUUCUUCAUCAAACCUCAACUACCUUAGAACCCUUUCUCUCAGAGCCAGUUCAUUACAUGAACUUAUUUAUGCUGGUUAAUGAAUGCAAAUAAGUGGACCUAUUCCUUAUAAUAGGCUUCCAUUUUAACAUUUUAACAUCAUGGUUAGGAGUGAGGACUUUGGAGUCAGACCUGGGUUGGAAUCUGCCACUUAGUAACUAAGACCUGGAGCAAGUUACUUAGACUUUUAGUUUCCUCAUCUGUAAAAGGAUGUAAAUAGUUCAAUACCUAUCUCAUCGUGUGGUUAUGAGCAUUAAAAGCAGUCUCCACGUAGAAUGCUUAGCACUUAGCUCACAGUAAAUCAUCAGUUCUCAGAGUGUCUUCCCACACUCCAGCAUCACCAUCACUAGUUAGUUAUGUGUUAGAAAUGCAGAUUCUCGGCUCCACGCUAGCUUUUGAAUCAGAAACUCUGGGGGUGAGGUCCAUUAAUCUGUGUUUUAAUCAGGUUUCCAGGUGAUUCUGAUGUAAGCUAAAGCUUGAGAACCACUGUAGUAAAUGUUAGCUGUAGUAAUAAUAAUAAUAAUAAAUUAUAGCUAGCAUUUAUGUUAUAAUAAUGUGUUGAUAUUGUUACUAAUUUGACAGAGACCAUCUAGAAUACUACUUUAGUUGAGUUGUGUUCCAUCCAAGUUCUGGGAAGCCUGGGGGCUCAUGGAGUUAUAUUGGAGGCCACUGCAAAAUGAGGAGGGGCAAAUCACAAAGAGAGAUCUAGGUUGUCCCCAGCCCUGCUUUGACAAGUGAGCUCAGCUUUAUCAGUUUUAUAUACUUCCGUUCCGUUCCAUUCCAUGUUAAGUUUGCUUGACAAAAGAGUUCUGCUCUGAGAUAAAUCUUGAAAAUCACUGCCUUCCCCAAAGUGCCAAUGGGAAUUGGACUGGACUAUGAGAGGGAAACAGGGGACCAGAAGAUUUUCCUGGGCUGCUCCCCACAAAGGAUGAUUAACGCCAGCCCUGCAUUCAGAUCCAAACUCCACAAACAGUCUCUGGGAAUUGUGCUGGGCACGGUGCCUUUUGUCAGACAUCAUAUUAUUCAGUCCUUACAAGGUGUUACUUCCCCUUCUUUUCAGAUGAGAAAAUGAAAGUGAAAAGAAGUUAAGUAACUUGUCCAAGGUCACACAGCUAGUGGAGCUGGGACUAGAGACAGAUCACAUGAUUCUGAGAUUUGUUCUCAUUCUCCAGGAAUGGCUGCUGGUCAUCCUGAGUGGCUAACAACACCCCCAGGGAAAUCAACCCUAGGGUGCUGGACGGACUCUGCAGAGAUGUCAGAUCCCACUUUUGGACUAAUGGACAGCAGGCAGCUGGCUUCUGCUCCACCAUUUGCUCAGCACCAAGGCCUGGGACAACUUAUUGGUUCCUUACAAAGCCACAGCAGAGCACAAUCAUGGAGGAUCCAGGAUUGCAUAGAAGGAAGCAGCCAAGCAUUGGAGGUCGACAUGCCUGUGCCCAAAUCCCACGUGUUAUGUCCUGUGUGGGUUGACACUGGGAUGGCUGGUGACCUGCUCCUUGUGUUCACACCCUGUGUAGUGGGGGUGCCUCCCAAGUGUGGGCUGGCCUAGCAACUUGCUUCUAACCAAAGGUGACAGGGUGUCACUUCUAAGAUUAGGUUUCAAGAGAUUGUAGCCUCCCUUACAAGCAGAUUCUUUAUUGCCUUCUCGGGUCACACACAUUGAUAAAGUAAGCAGGCCCAUGUGGCAAGGAACUGACAGUGACCUCCAGCCAACAGCUGGCAGGAACUGAGGCCCUUGGUCUAACUGCUCAGAUGGAACUGAAUUCUGUCAACUGCGGAAUGCCUUAGAGGCAGGUCCUUGCCCGGCUGAGCUUCCAGAUGAGCCCCCAGCCCUAGCUGACACCUGGACUGCAGCCUCAUAAGAGACCCUGAAGCAGAGGAUUCUGCAGAGACACACCCAGAUUCCUGAGGCACAGAAACUGUGAGAUAAUAAAUGUGUUUUUGCUGUUGU